GCGCUGCAAUCUAGCCCUAGAGGCUACAACUCCCAUCAGCCCUUGAGGUAAAAGGAGGAAGGGGGGCUUGUUCAGGCAUGUUGGGAGAGGGACUCUCCAUUUUUGGGACAGAGGAACCGGGCUGCUGCAGAAGGGCCUUUGUUCCAGUCCAGGAGCUGUUGUAUUGCAGCUAUAGCCUGGGAUUGAGAGCCUGCGGGGCUUGGAUUUAGCAGGCUGCUUCUGCGGCUGUUCAUUGUCCUUAGAAGGGAGAGCCUCUGGCUGUGCCUGUGGCCGAGAAGGGCUACACAUACCUGCACACAGGAGGAAACUGAUUGACUACAGCUGUUGUUUUUGAUGUAAGAUCGAGGGUAACAGCUGAUUUGAGUGUUCCAGUACGUCACUCUGGGCUGAAGCAAUUCAAGCAGUCAUAUCUGAAGAAGAACUGAAACCUUGCUGAUCCAAUAAGUAAAGCCAGAAACACAGAAUGGAUCCACAAUAGAGGAAUAAAAGACCAGAAUCAAACAUAAAAAAUAAACUUUAGCCUUUUUUUGUUUCCAAAAUUCAUAUUUAGAAACAGACAUUCUGAAAUGCUGAGGACAAAUGCUGCUUUAGAAUGAAAGUUAUUUAGCCCUGGGCCCUGCAAACACUCAAUGUGCUCCACUGUACACUUGCGAGAACUGUCACUGACUUGACCAGACCUACUCCCCUGUGUAAAGUUUAACAUACAGGUAAGUGCUUGAAGGAUCAGGGGUUCUGGUGAACACCACUGAUUUUUGGAUGUUGUUAAUAGACAGCAGCUUUUUCCGAAAUUCUUGGUCAGUACUAAGGACUCAGUUCAUCAGUGCUCUUCACUCACAUGGUCUCCCAGCUGAACACACUUAUAAAACAUGGGGAACUAUUUUCUAAAAAGCAUAUGUGCGUGCACUCACACAAACAUCCCCAUAGACACAGAGUUGUUUGCCAUCCAUUAUUCCCCUUUCCCUCUGAGCGCAAGUGGUGAAGACCAUAGCUUACAGCCAAGUAAUGAUUAAAUUGUUCCUAAUUCGCAGACUUGCACAUCCUUUGAGAAUUUCCAAUGUUUGAAAGAUAUCACAACUCCACUGUAAUAACGAUUGAAAUGUCAUCACAAUGCAGAUAGGGACAGAGUGGUGACAGCAAAGAUCUGUCAACUUGUUGCUCUGCACGUGUGGGAUUUGCCGUUGGCGUGACAGACCAAUGCCGGCAUCUCAUCAUACCUCGGUAAGUAAGGAUCUAUUAACAUAUGUUCAGUCACAUGCAGCCCCAGGUGCAAAUCUUGUUAAGUCGGUAGAAUAGCAGCUGUUUACAGUGGGGUCAAUUUGGCCCAUGCACUCUUAAUCCUGACCAUCACAUGAAACUCCUAGCUCUACCCAUCCUCCUAGCCAACAGGACACUAUCAUCCUUCUGGUUACUUACUUCACAGUUUUCUUGAUUCUCAUGAGAAAAAAAAAUCCAGGGAAAAGUCAAGACAUCUGUCUGAGAUAUUUCCCCAUGGAUUAAGACCUGUGUUAGUAUUUCAGAUAUGGGAAAAUGCUAAUACAAAUGCAGGGGUUUCAAAACCAUCCACCACAAUUCAACUCUGUUCCCACAGCUCAUUGGACUUAGAAAAAAAAAGUGGUACAAAUGUAAGGAAUCAUCCUAAGGAAAGUCAUGCAGUGUAUCAUUAAAACAGCCCACUUCCACUGAGCUGCUACUUCCCCCAAAAUGCAGAGUAACUGAUUUCGAAAUGGAUUGAACAAAUUCAGCUCUCUAAAUACCUCUGUUAAUUUGCAAGCCAUUCUGUUCUUGUCAGGAUUUGAAUUAUAUUCCCCCUAGGAACUCAGAUCUUUCAGAUGUGAGCUGAUCAAAUCCAGUUCUGUGCCAAGAGUUAGAAUUUCCUGGGGCAGCAGCCACUGCCAGCAGUGGGUGCAUUGAAGGCUCUGGCAUCAGCCCAGACUGGCAAAUUAAUGUCAUUUGGAAGCCGCUUCAGCCCCAGCCCCCAGUGCAGACAGCAAUGCUUGAAAUGUGCUUGUAGGACUCCUGCUAUUGAAGCAAUCGGAAAGCCAAUCUGAACUCUUAGGCCACCUCUCCACUUAUCGUGCCGGAGACUGAUCUUCUGGUGUUAGACCCGCUAAAUCGAAUGCUGAGGAGACCCUUAGUCAGCGCUUGUAUGCCUCCAUUUGUGAGGAGUAAGAGAAGCCAUCGGGAGCAAAUCUCCCUCUGCAAACAGGGUGCCAAGCUCAGCUUAAGGUAUGUCGAGUCCAGCUACCUUAUUUAUGUAGUUGGAGUUGCAUACCUUAAGGCAACCUUCUGGGUCUACUAUAGACCUGGCCUUAGUGUAUUAAACUGGCUGACCUUGGAGUGCCGAGCUGCCUAACUCUAACUAUUGAUGGUCCCACCAAAGCGUCAUUUUGAGACCUCUUGACAUUUUUUUAUUGGAAUUAGUUCCUUGCUGCUGGACAUGGGAUUUUCUGAUAGAAAACACAAAGGUAUUAUUCAUCGCUGUGAGCAUCAGCAGUUAUUUUGGACCACUAGUAUCAAAAGGUUAAAUACAUUCAGAUCAAAUCAAGGUAAAUGACAUAGUUGUUAUUGGGUGAAAUCUUUCAAAGGCUCAGAAGUCUGGAUUAACCAGGGCGGUCGCUAUGAAGUGAUCUCUCCAUCACUACAGAUAACAGGCCAGCUGCUCAGCCUGUGUGACGGAGCAGAGCUUCAUUCAUUUCAGUGAAGCUACACUGAUUUACCCCAACUAACGAUCGGGUCCCGUAUAUCUACUCUUAACAUUAUUUAAAAGUUCACUUUAAAUGUCCUUUUGAAUGCAAAUGCACAGAAUCACUAGCUUAUCUCUAACCCUCCAGAAAUCCAAAUUAAUAAUUCAACGAAAGAAGUGGGGUUGCCUGGCAGAUGCUUACAUCCUAACAAGGGAAUAUUGGAAGCAGAGAAAAAAACAACAUGGUUUUACAUUUAAGUGAACAAUAUGCUGUAAUAUUUUGACAGCAAGUCCUGAAACAAUACAGUGCCCUUUUUGUUUGAUUGAAAUUUA